rnacentral:tRNA from 13 species
UAUUAGGUUGGUGCAAAGGUAAUUGUGGUUUUUACCAUUGAAGGUAAUGGCAAAACCUCCAAUUACUUUUGCACCAACCUAAUA